UACAGAGGGUGCAAGCGUUAAUCGGAGUUACUGGGCGUAAAGGGCGCGUAGGUGGUUGUUUAAGUGAGAUGUGAAAGCCCUGGGCUUAACCUAGGAACUGCAUCUUAUACUGGGCAACUGGAGUACUGUAGAGGGUAGUGGAAUUUCCGGUGUAGCGGUGAAAUGCGUAGAGAUCGGAAGGAACACCAGUGGCGAAGGCGGCUACCUGGACAGAUACUGACACUGAGGCGCGAAAGCUAGGGGAGCAUACAGG
rnacentral:rRNA from 1 species